rnacentral:rRNA from 1 species
GAAGAACGCUGGCGGCGUGCCUAAUACAUGCAAGUCGAACGCAGUGGGGACGGGUGAGUAACACGUGGGUAACCUCCCAUCAGAGGGGAUAACACUUGGAAACAGGUGCUAAACCGAUAGUGAUGGAUGGACCCGCGGGGCAUUAGCUAGUUGGUGAGGUAACGGCUCACCAAGGCAACGAGGCAUAGCCUCCCUGAGAGUGUUAUCGGCCACACUGGGACGGAGACACGGCCCAGCCUCCUACGGGAGGCAGCAGUAGGGCAUCUUCGGCAAGGGACGCAAGUCUGACCGAGCAACGCCGCGUGAGUGAAGAAGGUUUUCGGAUCGUAAAACUCUGUUGUUAGAGAAGCGGUAUCUAACCAGAAAGCCACGGCUAACUACGUGCCAGCCGCCGCGGUAAUAC